UGGUAGCAACUAAAAUGCUUGUAAUAGAAACGUUCAAUCACUCGUAUUGAUAAUAAAUCCGCAGCAAAUGAAUUUAUGAAAAAAAGUAAAAGAUAGAAAAUCUAAAGAAUGAAAUUAAGAAAUUGAAUUACUAGAAUUCUAAAUAACAAUGUUGUAAAGAAAAUCCUAAGAAUCUAAUUACUAAGCUACUAUGAAUUUUCAAAAGCCUCCUUUUAAUUAAGCUUAAGUGUUAACAUUUAUAGAACUAAUGAUGUUUGACCUAAUUAGGGCGACUGUGCCCUGAAUUACGAGUAAAAAUUGAUUGUGCAUAUGGAUAACACUUUUGCAUAUUUUAAGUUCAUCGAGCCUCAAUGUCGAGUCAUCACAUGUCCAAUGUUGCGACUUUCUAGGCCGUUUGCUUGAGAGGGACUUGGGUGUCGCAACUUUGCUCCUCAAUGUCAUGACUUUGCAGCAACCUUGGAAUCUACUUCCAUCUUUCGCUACUAUCGUGGAUGUCGUGACUUCAAGUGUUGAAUGUUGCGACUUUAGCUUCCAAUGUCGUGACCUUGGUCACGGUCUGCUUGUCUUGUCGAUGUUGCUCGAAAAUCCUUCUAAGUGUAUAUGCAGUGUCAAUGUUACGAUUUUAUGUUCUCCAUGUCCCGACUUUCUGGGCAAUCCAUUAACUCUUUUUCUAUUUGGUUCGAGUCGUUUCUUGCCCCACUACAUCAACUUGUUAAAACUUCAUUAGGCUCGAGUUGGACUAAUUGGUCAAUAAACAUUAUAAAAAGGAUUGUUUUAUUUAAUUACGUAUAACUAAUAUAUACUUCAUAAAGCUAUUAAAAUGACAUAAAAAUGCUUGAUUACAAGCUUCUUAAGUAUUAAAAAGAAUUUAAUUUACCAUAUUAAAUUAUGCUAGAUCAAAUUCCCCCACACUUAAAUGUUUGUCCUCAUUUGUCCUCAAGCAAACACAUAAGCCAACAAACAAGAAGCAAAAUAUGACAACCCUUGAGCAUGCUUAAUGAAGAGAUUUGAUUAAAGAUAUAGACAAUAAGAAUGACUUUUCUAUCGUACAAUUUCGGUAUGAUACUUAGAGAAUUCACAACUUUUAAAAGUGAUAAUUCAAAGAACUACAACAUGAACAAGUUUAAAGGUGAUCAUAUAUAUUCUCUAUUUAUCAUACUAAUCCAUCAAAAUUCAUUGUAGAGAUGUAACAUUAUAGCAGAAGAACAUAAAGCAAUCAUUUCUCAUACAAAUAACACGACAAUCAUACAAUAUUUAUAAGCACAAUUGUGAAUAUAAUUUUUUUUUAACAAAAAAAAGUUAUUGUAUUAUUGAUUUGAAAUAGAUCAUGAGAAACUUGCAAUGUGACUAAAUGAAUCUAGAAUGUUGCAUACUUACUCUACUUUAAUUUUCUAGCUAUUAUAUAUAGCUAAUAGUUGUUUAACAGACAACUCUUGAUAUUAUGAAUAAGAGUGAGCAAUCAGUCGAAUCGAAUCGAAUGAAAAAAUUUUAAAUUUUUCGAAUUUUAUUUUAUCAUCUUAACUCGAUUUGAAAUUUUCUCGAAUCGAGUCGAGUGAGAUGAACUUUAAAUUAAAUUGAAUUGAAUAUAUUUGUUCUAGUUAAAUUAAAAAAAAUUGUGUUUUUCAAUGUAUUUUUUAAAAAAUAUUUUUUUUAAAAAUUUUUAAAUAUGAUCUUACAAUGAAAAAAAAUGUUAGUGAACAAAUAAAAGCAACACAACAUAAGUCCAAGUGAACAACAACACAAUAUGAUUAUAAUAACAAAAUAUAAACAAAAAACCAAAAUACAACAAAAAAACAAAACAAACCCAAUUUUUUGAUUCUCCACACAAUUAAGUCAGCCGAAUUGAAACGAUGUGUUGCUGGAAACAUUGCAUGUCUCUAUCAAUCAAACAAAUAAAUAAAACAUUGCAUAUCUUACAGUUAUAUUCUGUUCCUAAGAAGAAAAUCAAAUGAGAACUUUCCAUUGAAGUGCUGUGCUAUUUCUCCAAUUCCAUUCAAUUCAAACGCCAACUUCGUAAACCAUUUCCGUCUUUCAAUAUAACCAAUUAAUCAUAGAAUCGAGUGCUAUGAUUGCUUUUAAGAUAGCAUUUUAUUAAUAGAGUUUUAAAUAAUAAAUUUUUAAAAAAAAAACUCAUAACCUAAAAUAUGCAGCAGCAGUAAUAUUUUAAUUUAAUCUCACAGUAGUAUAUGCAACAACAACCGUUAUAUUUUUAUAUUAAAAAAAAACUUAUAACCUAAAAUAUGCAGCAGCAGUAAUAUUUUUUUCUCGAUUAAUUUAAUCCCACGAUCAUAUAUGCAGCAACAGUUACCUCGGGACAAACCUGGGAGAUGCAGAAAAGUAUAGGUUAAAACUGAAGAGAACGGACCGGCACCGACAAGAAGGAACACCACUUUCGAAGCGACCGGAGAUUGUGAGGGAUUUGCCCAGCCUAAAAAAGUUCGAUGAACUGAUGAAGAAGAAGAAUGGAGAUAGGGAGUUUAAUUUAGGAGGUUUGAAUGAACCAAUGAAGAAGAAGAAUAAGAAGAAUGAAGGGUUUAAUUUAGAGAUUUUUUAAGGAGAGUGGGGAUUUAAUUUAGGAAUUUUUGAAGGAGAAGCAUGUAUUUGGGGGUCUGAAAGGAUUAAGAGUUUGAUUUGGGAAAAGUUGGGAAAAUUGUGGGGCUUGCCGACUGGGGGGAAUAGGGUAAAAGAGUUGGGUCAAUACAAUAAUAAUAAUAUAGAUUAAUAUUUAAUUUAUUUGAGUUAUUUAAAUUUUAAAAAAAUCUAAUUAAUUUAAUUAAUUCAAUUCAAAUAAUUUAAAACUUAAAAUUUUUUAUUUUUUUAAGAUGAAUCCAAUUGUGCUUGCCGGUUGUACGAUGGAUUUAAUUGUAUGCAAUUGAUAACUUUAUAUUAAUUAUAAAUAUUGGACCCAUUAUGUCUGCGUGAGCCACGUUCCAAAUAGUAAACAUAAUUAAGCAACUGUUUAAAUUUUUAAUCAGAGAACAGUUAAAUGCCUUUUAGCUGCCAACCAAUAUAAGCAGGAAAACUUCCUUCAAGUAAUGGGAUAAAGAACAAAAUAUUUAAAAAAAAAAAGAGAAAAUAAAUUUUGACUUCCUUGCUUAUGACGUAAGACCAAUUUUAGAAAAAGAAGAGAAUAUCAACUUCGUAACAGUCAGCCGUCAAAAUACCUUUGAA
rnacentral:lncRNA from 1 species